rnacentral:rRNA from 1 species
GGCAGCAGUGGGGAAUCUUGCGCAAUGGGGGAAACCUGACGCAGCAACGCCGCGUGGGCUGAUGAAGGCCUUCGGGUCGUAAAGCCCUGUCAGGUGGGAAGAAACUUGUCGAUGUUAAUACCAUCGGCACUUGACGGUACCACCGGAGGAAGCACCGGCUAACUCCGUGCCAGCAGCCGCGGUAAUACGGAGGGUGCAAGCAUUGUUCGGAAUUAUUGGGCGUAAAGCGCGUGCAGGCGGUCGGGUAAGUCAGAUGUGAAAGCCUUCCGCUUAACGGGAGAAGUGCAUUUGAAACUGCUUGGCUAGAGUACGGGAGAGGAGAGUGGAAUUCCCGGUGUAGAGGUGAAAUUCGUAGAUAUCGGGAGGAACACCAGUGGCGAAGGCGGCUCUCUGGUCCGAUACUGACGCUGAGACGCGAAAGCGUGGGGAGCAAACAGGAUUAGAUACCCUGGUAGUCCACGCCGUAAACGAUGGGCACUAGGUGUAGGAGGUAUUGACCCCUUCUGUGCCGAAGCUAACGCAUUAAGUGCCCCGCCUGGGGAGUACGGCCGCAAGGUAAAAACUCAAAUGAAUUGACGG